rnacentral:misc_RNA from 1 species
GUCACCGUCACCGCAGAUCCCCGCAACCUCGAGCAUGUCCUCAAGUCCCGCUUCGACAACUACCCCAAAGGCCCAACCUGGCAGUCAGUCUUCCACGACCUCCUCGGCGCUGGCAUCUUCAACUCCGACGGUGAAACCUGGCUCGUCCAGCGCAAAACGGCCGCCUUAGAGUUCACCACCCGCACCCUCCGCCAUGCCAUGUCGCGGUGGGUCCACCGCUCCAUCCACAUCCGCUUACUUCCAAUCCUCGGCGGCGCGACCGCCCCUGUCGACAUGCAGGACCUCCUCCUCCGCCUCACGUUCGACAACAUCUGCGGGCUGGCGUUCGGGAAGGACCCAGAGACCCUCGCCCCCGGGCUGCCAGACAACUCCUUCGCCGCCGCCUUCGACCGGGCCACCGAGGCUACCUUAGCGCGCUUCGUCCUGCCAGAGGUAGUCUGGAGGAUGAAGAAGCGUUUAGGUCUCGGCAUGGAAGCCAUACUAGCUAGCUCUGUCGCCCAUGUCGACCGCUACCUCUCCGCUGUCAUCAAGGACCGCAAGCUCGACCUCCAUUCUCACCCCUCCGACGACCUUCUAUCACGCUUCAUGCGGAAAGGCCCGACCUACACCGACGACUUCCUCCAGUACGUCGCACUCAACUUCAUCCUCGCCGGCAGGGACACCUCCUCCGUCGCACUCUCCUGGUUCUUCUAUCUCGUAUCCAAAAACAAACACGUUGAAGACAAGAUUCUCCAAGAGCUGGCUGGAGUAUUAGCUGAUAGCCGCGGCAAGGACACCAGAGACUGGCUCUCAGAUCCGCUAGCCUUCGAUGAG